rnacentral:rRNA from 1 species
UACGUAGGGUGCAAGCGUUGUCCGGAAUUAUUGGGCGUAAAGAGUUCGUAGGUGGUUUGUCGCGUCGGCCGUGAAAUCUCCACGCUUAACGUGGAGCGUGCGGUCGAUACGGGCAGACUUGAGUUCGGUAGGGGAGACUGGAAUUCCUGGUGUAGCGGUGAAAUGCGCAGAUAUCAGGAGGAACACCGGUGGCGAAGGCGGGUCUCUGGGCCGAUACUGACGCUGAGGAGCGAAAGCGUGGGGAGCGAACAGG